rnacentral:lncRNA from 1 species
CCGAGCCGCUGGAAAACGGCACGGGCAAAACCGAAUCGAUGGCGUUUUGGUAAAUUACAUUCUGCAGGAACUGGAAAUAAAGUAAAACGUUGCCGUUUACCAUCGGAAUUUCCUUGAAUUUAUCGCGAAACCCAGGCCAGCCACGGAAGUCGUCGAUACAGAGAAUCUGAGAAUCGAGUCCCAAUUGGCGGGUCAAGUUGGCCAUGUGAAGAGCUGAGGCGCCGAGGAAGGACCCUACUUCGAUGAUGACACGCGGCCUGACUUUAUCAAUGAGGUUUCCGAAAACGGCACCGUAGGAGCCCCACCCCUUGAUGCGACGCCGGCGAAGUAGGUGACUAAUAUGCGGCGGCGGGAAAUUGACGUAAGGGGAGGUGCCGUUGAAGAUUCGGUCAAUGAUGGUUUGACGGACGAGUUGAGGAGGAACUGAGUCGGCGGCGCAGCGAGUCGUGACUCGGAAGUUGUCUAGUAGACUUGGAGGAAGCUGGAUGGUUGAAUUUGAAGUGGCUGUGGCUGUGGCUGUGGCUGCACCUGCACCGGCACGUGGACGUGAUGGUGGUGGUGGUGGUGGUGUGUGGGGUUUUGGGGAGGAUAGGUAACCCAGGGCGUAGGAUAGCAGGAGGAGGAUAAUAUACGCCGUUGGGUUAUUGAAGAGUUUCUUGGUUAUGUACAUGUUUACUUUGUGGUGGAAGCGGUGGUGGUCUUCUUUUGCUCACAUGUUUUGUCGUUUAUUUGGUGAAUUCUUGAUUGUUAAGACUAACUAAUUACUUGAUACAUACGGUUGAUUUAAAGAGAACAACAUCAAGUAAUCAACUACCAGCGGUGACUAACAAUAUACAAUUAUCUUUUCCACAAUUCUAUCUGUGUUUUAAUAAUAACAACUACAAUAAUAAUAUUAAGGUAUGCUUAUGAAACGACUGUCGACUAGGACUACAAAACUACCGAGAAAAAAAAUGGUGAUGAUGGUUAGUGUUUGUGAGAAGGAAAGAGGAUGGAUCUGCUUCUGCUGUGUGGGGUGAGUUAGUAGAAAUUGCGUGUUUACUACACGGAUGAUCAUGAAAAGACUCGAAAACUUGUUGAUUACGAUUUCAGAGGCAUUGUAAAAUACGGGUUGAGUUUUACAAUUCAGCUCAAACCUUUCCCAACCUUUGAUUGGAAUGAAAUGGUAUAAGCUAUGAUGUAUUGAUGAGGGAGAUUAUAGUCUAUUAUAUAUAUAUAUAUCUGCUGUACCGUACAUCCGCCUUGGCCGUACAGCAGAGUUGAAUGCGGAAUUUUUCGUCAUUCACUACGUUUCCAUAUUUAUUUUUGCAAUAAUAUUGUAUUUAUUUAGUUAGAACACUUAUGGUGUAUUUAUUUAUGGGUUUAAAAAAUUAGAAUGAAGGAAUGAGAAUUAAAUUAUUAAUAUUUAUCAUUAUUAUUAUUUAUUAAAAAUAAUAAUAACAAUAAUUAAUAAUAACUAAAAUAAUAAAGUUAAUAAAAUUUAAUAAUAAUAAUAAUAACAACAACAAAAACAAUAAUGAUAAUAUUGUUAAUAAUGAUAAAUUAAUUACUAUUAAUAUGGGUAUUUUGGUAAAUUAAUUAUCAUUCUCAUCCCUUAUUCCUAUUUAUUUUGCCAAGUAAACACAUCAAUGACAUUUCAGCACAUUCACAUUCUUAUUUAUUUUUGCCAAGUAAAUAUUGAAAUCUCAUUUUCAUUCGUCAUUCUCAUUCCAACCAAUUCUCAUUCUCAGCCCAUUCUCAUUUUACUCUAUUUCUAUUCUCAUGAAGUAAACACACAAUUAAAUUUAUAUCUUAAUUGAUGUAAUAAAUAACUUACUAUUAUUAUAUAAUUAAUUCAAGUGAUGAAUAAUUUUUUAAAUUUUUUUAUUCAAAUAAUAAAUCUCUAUUUAUGAUACACCAAUUAAAAUACAAACAGACUAAAUAUUCCAAGUAAAUAAAAAUAAUAUCACUCUUACUUUUCAAGAGUUGUUAUCUCAUAACCAGCAAACAGACGGCAACAACCAAUAACGGAUCAAGCAACCCUUUUUUUUCUGGGGGGUGUAAUUUUGAGUAUCACAUGACGGGACGGGAGAUGACAGGUAUACACGAGAUACAUAUGUGAAAAAAAAUCUAAGCAUUAACAGCAGAGUGGAUGACCCAGUGCUGCCCAUCAAUUUGAACUUUCAGACCGUUAAUCUUAGCAAACAAAUUUACCGCUCUCCUUACGCCUCUGUUAUCCGCAGCAGUAAAAUAAUCGUGGCCAAAAAUUACCCCACCGGGUCUCAAGAUCCGCCAAGCCCGGUUGAUAUCCGCCCAGGCCGAGUUAAAGUCAUGGCCCGCGUCAAUUUCUAUCAAAUCACCCACCACUCCCCACUCACAAAGUUUGGUUAAAGCCGAGCCGCUGGAAAACGGCACGGGCAAAACCGAAUCGAUGGCGUUUUGGUAAAUUACAUUCUGCAGGAACUGGAAAUAAAGUAAAACGUUGCCGUUUACCAUCGGAAUUUCCUUGAAUUUAUCGCGAAACCCAGGCCAGCCACGGAAGUCGUCGAUACAGAGAAUCUGAGAAUCGAGUCCCAAUUGGCGGGUCAAGUUGGCCAUGUGAAGAGCUGAGGCGCCGAGGAAGGACCCUACUUCGAUGAUGACACGCGGCCUGACUUUAUCAAUGAGGUUUCCGAAAACGGCACCGUAGGAGCCCCACCCCUUGAUGCGACGCCGGCGAAGUAGGUGACUAAUAUGCGGCGGCGGGAAAUUGACGUAAGGGGAGGUGCCGUUGAAGAUUCGGUCAAUGAUGGUUUGACGGACGAGUUGAGGAGGAACUGAGUCGGCGGCGCAGCGAGUCGUGACUCGGAAGUUGUCUAGUAGACUUGGAGGAAGCUGGAUGGUUGAAUUUGAAGUGGCUGUGGCUGUGGCUGUGGCUGCACCUGCACCGGCACGUGGACGUGAUGGUGGUGGUGGUGGUGGUGUGUGGGGUUUUGGGGAGGAUAGGUAACCCAGGGCGUAGGAUAGCAGGAGGAGGAUAAUAUACGCCGUUGGGUUAUUGAAGAGUUUCUUGGUUAUGUACAUGUUUACUUUGUGGUGGAAGCGGUGGUGGUCUUCUUUUGCUCACAUGUUUUGUCGUUUAUUUGGUGAAUUCUUGAUUGUUAAGACUAACUAAUUACUUGAUACAUACGGUUGAUUUAAAGAGAACAACAUCAAGUAAUCAACUACCAGCGGUGACUAACAAUAUACAAUUAUCUUUUCCACAAUUCUAUCUGUGUUUUAAUAAUAACAACUACAAUAAUAAUAUUAAGGUAUGCUUAUGAAACGACUGUCGACUAGGACUACAAAACUACCGAGAAAAAAAAUGGUGAUGAUGGUUAGUGUUUGUGAGAAGGAAAGAGGAUGGAUCUGCUUCUGCUGUGUGGGGUGAGUUAGUAGAAAUUGCGUGUUUACUACACGGAUGAUCAUGAAAAGACUCGAAAACUUGUUGAUUACGAUUUCAGAGGCAUUGUAAAAUACGGGUUGAGUUUUACAAUUCAGCUCAAACCUUUCCCAACCUUUGAUUGGAAUGAAAUGGUAUAAGCUAUGAUGUAUUGAUGAGGGAGAUUAUAGUCUAUUAUAUAUAUAUAUAUCUGCUGUACCGUACAUCCGCCUUGGCCGUACAGCAGAGUUGAAUGCGGAAUUUUUCGUCAUUCACUACGUUUCCAUAUUUAUUUUUGCAAUAAUAUUGUAUUUAUUUAGUUAGAACACUUAUGGUGUAUUUAUUUAUGGGUUUAAAAAAUUAGAAUGAAGGAAUGAGAAUUAAAUUAUUAAUAUUUAUCAUUAUUAUUAUUUAUUAAAAAUAAUAAUAACAAUAAUUAAUAAUAACUAAAAUAAUAAAGUUAAUAAAAUUUAAUAAUAAUAAUAAUAACAACAACAAAAACAAUAAUGAUAAUAUUGUUAAUAAUGAUAAAUUAAUUACUAUUAAUAUGGGUAUUUUGGUAAAUUAAUUAUCAUUCUCAUCCCUUAUUCCUAUUUAUUUUGCCAAGUAAACACAUCAAUGACAUUUCAGCACAUUCACAUUCUUAUUUAUUUUUGCCAAGUAAAUAUUGAAAUCUCAUUUUCAUUCGUCAUUCUCAUUCCAACCAAUUCUCAUUCUCAGCCCAUUCUCAUUUUACUCUAUUUCUAUUCUCAUGAAGUAAACACACAAUUAAAUUUAUAUCUUAAUUGAUGUAAUAAAUAACUUACUAUUAUUAUAUAAUUAAUUCAAGUGAUGAAUAAUUUUUUAAAUUUUUUUAUUCAAAUAAUAAAUCUCUAUUUAUGAUACACCAAUUAAAAUACAAACAGACUAAAUAUUCCAAGUAAAUAAAAAUAAUAUCACUCUUACUUUUCAAGAGUUGUUAUCUCAUAACCAGCAAACAGACGGCAACAACCAAUAACGGAUCAAGCAACCCUUUUUUUUCUGGGGGGUGUAAUUUUGAGUAUCACAUGACGGGACGGGAGAUGACAGGUAUACACGAGAUACAUAUGUGAAAAAAAAUCUAAGCAUUAACAGCAGAGUGGAUGACCCAGUGCUGCCCAUCAAUUUGAACUUUCAGACCGUUAAUCUUAGCAAACAAAUUUACCGCUCUCCUUACGCCUCUGUUAUCCGCAGCAGUAAAAUAAUCGUGGCCAAAAAUUACCCCACCGGGUCUCAAGAUCCGCCAAGCCCGGUUGAUAUCCGCCCAGGCCGAGUUAAAGUCAUGGCCCGCGUCAAUUUCUAUCAAAUCACCCACCACUCCCCACUCACAAAGUUUGGUUAAAGCCGAGCCGCUGGAAAACGGCACGGGCAAAACCGAAUCGAUGGCGUUUUGGUAAAUUACAUUCUGCAGGAACUGGAAAUAAAGUAAAACGUUGCCGUUUACCAUCGGAAUUUCCUUGAAUUUAUCGCGAAACCCAGGCCAGCCACGGAAGUCGUCGAUACAGAGAAUCUGAGAAUCGAGUCCCAAUUGGCGGGUCAAGUUGGCCAUGUGAAGAGCUGAGGCGCCGAGGAAGGACCCUACUUCGAUGAUGACACGCGGCCUGACUUUAUCAAUGAGGUUUCCGAAAACGGCACCGUAGGAGCCCCACCCCUUGAUGCGACGCCGGCGAAGUAGGUGACUAAUAUGCGGCGGCGGGAAAUUGACGUAAGGGGAGGUGCCGUUGAAGAUUCGGUCAAUGAUGGUUUGACGGACGAGUUGAGGAGGAACUGAGUCGGCGGCGCAGCGAGUCGUGACUCGGAAGUUGUCUAGUAGACUUGGAGGAAGCUGGAUGGUUGAAUUUGAAGUGGCUGUGGCUGUGGCUGUGGCUGCACCUGCACCGGCACGUGGACGUGAUGGUGGUGGUGGUGGUGGUGUGUGGGGUUUUGGGGAGGAUAGGUAACCCAGGGCGUAGGAUAGCAGGAGGAGGAUAAUAUACGCCGUUGGGUUAUUGAAGAGUUUCUUGGUUAUGUACAUGUUUACUUUGUGGUGGAAGCGGUGGUGGUCUUCUUUUGCUCACAUGUUUUGUCGUUUAUUUGGUGAAUUCUU